GAGUUUGAUCCUGGCUCAGGACGAACGCUGGCGGCGUGCCUAAUACAUGCAAGUGGAGCGACGAACCAGGCUUCGGCCUGGGGCAAAGCCGCGAACGGGUGAGUAACACGUGGGUAACCUGCCCCGAUGAUUGGGACAACCCGAGGAAACUCGGGCUAAUACCAAAUGUGCCCGCCGGCCUCAAGGCUGGUGGGGAAAGGAAGCUUCGGCCUCCGCAUCGGGAUGGGCCCGCGGCCCAUUAGUUUGUUGGUGAGGUAACGGCUCACCAAGGCGACGAUGGGUAGCUGGUCUGAGAGGACGAUCAGCCACACUGGGACUGAGACACGGCCCAGACUCCUACGGGAGGCAGCAGUAGGGAAUCUUGCGCAAUGCGCGGAAGCGUGACGCAGCAACGCCGCG
rnacentral:rRNA from 1 species